rnacentral:rRNA from 1 species
CCUACGGGAGGCAGCAGUGAGGAAUAUUGGUCAAUGGGCGCGAGACUGAACCAGCCAAGCCGCGUGAGGGAUGAAGGUACAGCGUAUCGUACACCUCUUUUGUCAGGGAACAAAGUCGGGGACGCGUCCCCGGUUGAGUGUACCUGAUGAAAAAGCAUCGGCUAACUCCGUGCCAGCAGCCACGGUAAUACGGAGGAUGCUAGCGUUAUCCGGAUUUAUUGGGUUUAAAGGGUGCGCAGGGGGUGUGUUAAGUCAGCGGUAAAAGUCGGGGGCUCAACCCCGGCACGCCGUUGAGACUGGCAGUCUGGAGUGUGAGAGAAGUAUGCGGAAUGCGCGGUGUAGCGGUGAAAUGCAUAGAUAUCGCGAAGAACUCCGAUUGCGAAGGCAGCAUGCCGGCUCCACACUGACGCUGAGGCACGAAAGCGUGGGUAUCGAACAGGAUUAGAUACCCUGGUAGUC